GAUGAACGCUAGCGAUAGGCUUAGCACAUGCAAGUCGAGGGGCAGCAUGGUCUUAGCUUGCUAAGACUGAUGGCGACCGGCGCACGGGUGCGUAACGCGUAUGCAACUUGCCUCACAGAGGGGGAUAACCCGUCGAAAGACGGACUAAUACCGCGUACACUCCAUCUUGGGCAUCCAAGGUAGAGGAAAUGAAAUUCGCUGUGAGAUAGGCAUGCGUCCCAUUAGCUAGUUGGUGAGGUAACGGCUCACCAAGGCGACGAUGGGUAGGGGAACUGAGAGGUUGAACCCCCACACUGGUACUGAGACACGGACCAGACUCCUACGGGAGGCAGCAGUGAGGAAUAUUGGUCAAUGGGCGAGAGCCUGAACCAGCCAAGUCGCGUGAAGGAUGACUGUCUUAUGGAUUGUAAACUUCUUUUAUACGGGAAUAACAAGAGUCACGUGUGACUCCCUGCAUGUACCGUAUGAAUAAGCAUCGGCUAACUCCGUG
rnacentral:rRNA from 1 species